GCAAUUGCCUCAUAGGUAUCAACUUUAUUUUGUUAUGAUAUGGAUCAUGGUAGAGUGGAUUUCCAUGUUGGAAUAGACAUUUUAAAUCGUUCGAUUUGUGGGUCAUCACAACUCAUAUUAAUUCUUUGGUGGAAUUAGAAUAAUUGUGCUUUGUGUGUGCUACAGGUAAGUUACUAAAUAUAAGGGCAACCUGCCAAAGAGGGGAUACUUAUGAGUUUAAUUUUAGCUAUAAAGAGGGUUCAUAAAUGGUAGUAGUUGGUUCAGAUUUGCGCUAUUGGAGACACGGGGAUGAGGGGCCUUACAACUUAGAUCAAAAGUUUGUAAUGGAAAUGCUUGCUAUGUUGGCUUCAUGUCUGGUGUGCUUCAUUACUAGGAUGGAUAUAUUUCCCCCUUAUCAACUUCCCAGGUUAUAUGUUUGUAUAAUUUUAUAUAGAGGACAAUUCCGUUGAUGUAAUUAGUUCCUAUUUUAUGUUCAAGGUACAAACCGUUCUGAAAGUUAAUAACUUUAGGUUUGCCCAUAUUGGUGAAGGUGGUAAAAUUGAAGGAUCUAUGGUACUGGAUUAAAUUCCACAUGUUUCUUCACUUGUAUUAAUGUGUGAAUCAAGCCAAAAAAGUAAUUUUAAGUACUAUUAUUUAGGAUUGGAAUAUUGUGAGAUAUUUUUUUGUCAUCAUAAUCUUGAAAUUUUGUU
rnacentral:lncRNA from 1 species